CAUAGCAAUCGUAAAGUUUCAAAGCAGUUAGGGCAUCUUCAAUAGAAUCAUGUUCCGUUAGUUGAAUUUCUUCAUCCAACAAAUACCAAGCCAAAAAUUUUAAAGAAAGUUUUCGUUGCCGUGAGCUCAAGAAAAAUAAAUCAACCGUAUCAACAACCUGCUCCGGCGGAACCAGCAAAUUAAUAAUUCGAAAGUCUUUUUGUAGACCAUGACCAACGAAUAUACAUCCAGCAUUUACCAAAAGACGAAGCUUUUUAUACGCAACUUUUAAAGGAACGACAUUAUAUGGAGAACGAUCAGGAUCUAAAUCGCCAGGAUGUAUACCUGAAUAUUCCGUAAGAUAGUCAGUAACCUUAUCGUCAGUCGCAACAUAAUCGUCUAUGAAUGGCAAACCUUUGUUAGGCCCUUCCCCACGUAAAACUGAUACACGAGCUAACGAGAGUUUACUGGGUUUAAUGGUAGAUUUAGUACCAUCACUUCGUACCUCAGUUUCUUCCUGCUGUAGGGCAACGAACUCAGAGUCUAUGCCCACUAGCAUUUUAGGAUACAACAUUUCAUCAGUUGUGAGAGGUUGAAUUUUGUUGAUAGGUGGGUUUUUGUUUAAUGAGUAGGGUUGGUAUAACAAAGUAUAGUCUGAUACCUCGUCCCAUUGCGGGAUCUUUGUAUCAAGCUUUUCAUAAUACACUAUGAUAGGUAUUUUCCAAGGGCCAUGCACCGUCAGUGCUUCUUCUUCAGUUACCUCUUUAACUAGAAAAUCAUUAAAAAUAUACCAUCGAUUAUCAUCGGGAUUAUCAGAGCUGGUAUUAUCGGAUACUGUCUAGUUAGAAAAAUGAUAAUAACAAAUUCAUACCUCUA